AUUGAACGCUGGCGGCAGGCCUAACACAUGCAAGUCGAACGAGAGGCGGACGGGUGAGUAAUGUCUGGGAAACUGCCUGAUGGAGGGGGAUAACUACUGGAAACGGUAGCUAAUACCGCAUACCAACGGAUGAGCCCAGAUGGGAUUAGCUAGUAGGUGGGGUAACGGCUUACCUAGGCGACGAGCCCUAGCUGGUCUGAGAGGAUGACCAACCACACUGGAACUGAGAAACGGUCCAGACUCCUACGUGAGGCAGCAGUGGGGAAUGUUGCGCAAUGGGCGCAAGCCUGAUGCAGCCAUGCCGCGUGUAUGAAGAAGGCCUUCGGGUUGUAAAGUACUUUCAGAGGGGAGGCGUUACCCGCAGAGGAAGCACCGGCUAACUCCGUGCCAGCAGCCGCGGUAAUAC
rnacentral:rRNA from 1 species